GGAUGGCAGCCAUCUUAGCGUCACAGGAACUCAGCAAGCGGUGAUCAGAGAAGACUGUGUUCUGUCCUGAAAACCUGGCUGUAUUUUAUUGAUGAAAACCAAAGCCAGCAGCACAUACCAAAGCUGGAAAACACACAUUCACUAUUUUUGCAGCUUAACAUUUCACUUCAAGAUGGUACCUUCAAUAAAAUUUGAAAGCAAAAGUUUGCUUUUCUCAUGUAACUCCUUUCUGCUGUUUAGAGGUUCUCCCAUAAAUUAUAGACAUUAGAGUAAAGAGUGACAGGUGGGUUUGGUGAUCUCUCCAAAAAAUGAAAAUCAAACUUUGCUGCACAAUCACCUUUUUAAUGGAAGGACACUUUUAAAAUGACACAGUUUGGAAACCUGAAUCUGACAAAUAUCCGUCAUUCAUCCAAAGGUAUAAGGAGCCUAGCAAAGCAUAACAGCACACCCACACAAUCCAGUUAAAGCACUUGGAUUCCACUGUCACAGUCAUGGCUUUUGUCCAACAGAUACUCGGAACUGUAGUGGUUCGUCAAAGUGCUGAGAGUUGUUAGGAGACUCCAGACUCCAGUUCCCAGGAUUCCUUGGCAGAAGUCAUGACUGGGAAAGUGGUAACGAAGUACUUUAACUGGAUUGUGUGUAUGUGACACAAAUCUUCCACUGUGACUUUUAAACAUUUUAAAUUGGCAUUCAGAAUUGAUGGGUGAGUCCCUCUCCCAAGUUGUGGGAACAAAGACAAAAAUAUAUGGUCAUGGUGAACGUUUCACUAGAAACACAAACAUAAUGCUAUCAGUUGCACAGUCAUUGUUAGACAAUUUGAGUGAGAGAGAACAAGGUAAUGUUUCUAAGCAAUAUUUUUGGAGCUAUAAAUUUCCUCUGACAGGAUUAAGCAUGGUUAGCUAUUUAGGGCCUGUAUCCACUGGAGUUUACUGUAUGUUUUCAGCUGUUUGCAUUCCCAUUUAAUUUGCAUAGUCCACAAGACAUUGACCUCAAACAGUACCAAUCUCCCAUGUUUGUCCCUCUCCAGUAAAUUUGAGUUUACUCUAUAUGGAGAUAAUAGGAUGAGUGGGGGGGGGAUUGGGCUCCAAAACUUGGUGCUUUGGAGUGGGUGGAUCCAUUGUCGCUUUCUCUUCCUCCCCUUUCUGGGCCCACUACUUCCUCUAUGCUGUCAUUUCUUUUCCAGCUGUGCUAAUAACUAUUUCCUGGGUCCUCCCUCUUGAUCGCUCAGAUUUGCACUAAUCCAGAUAACUGCACAAGCAAACCACAUAAAAAAAUUCUGCACUAGAUAUUUUGGGCACCAAUCUGACCAUGGCCUUUGACACUGUAAAUCAUAAUGCCCAUAAUGCUUCUGAAAAUUGGCUGCCCAGAUAUAUUUGUGAACACCCUACGGCUCCUCUGUGAUAAUAUCACAGCAACAAUAGCAGACGACAAUGGCUCUCAAAGUGAACCAUUCACAGUAGGAUCAGGUGUUAAACAGGGUUUUAUUAUCACCCUAACUCUAUUAUUUUAAUUGCCAUGAUCCCACAUGAUCCCACCAGGGUAGAAAUCACAUAUCGAACAGAUGGAAAGCUCUUCAAUCUGAGCAGGCUGAAAGCAAUGAGUAAGGUUACCAUAACAUCCGUCAUAGAGCUUCAGUAUGCUGAUGACAACAUAGUGUGUGCACACUCAGAGAAUGACCUCCAAACCAUCCUAAAUAUCUUUGCAGAAGCUUUCAAAAAGCUUGGCCUUUCAUUCAACAUCCAAAAAAACAAAGUGUUGUACCAACAAGCACAAAACAACCCCUCUGCAGCACCACAAAUUGAACUCAAUGGUGUAAUGUUGGAAAGUGUCAAUCACUUCUCCUACAUGGGCAGUUAUCUUUCCACAAGGGCUGACAUUCAUGCUGAAAUCUAGAAUCACCUGAGCUCUAUGAGUGCAGCUUUCUCCCGAUUAAAGUGCAGAGUGUUUGAAGACCGGGACAUUUGCAGGGAAACCAAAAUGCUUGUUUAUAAAGCUAUUGUACGACCAAACUUACUGUAUGCUUAUGAAACAUGGACCACUUAUAAAUGCCAUCUUCAGCUCCUUGAAAGAUUCCAUCAAGGGUGUCUCCGAAACAUUUUACAUAUCACUUGGGAAGACAGGCAAACUAAUGCCAUUGUACUGGAAGAAGCAAAGAUCACCAGUGUCGAAGCAAUGAUUCUUCAACAUCAACUUCAUUGGACUGGUAAUGUUGUUCAGAUGCCUGAUUAUCAUCUGCCAAAGCAACUACUCUAUUCCGAACUUAAAAAUGAAAAGUGUAAUGCUGGUGGUCAACAAAAGAGGUUUAAAGACUGUCUCAAAGCAAAUCUAAAAAAAUGUAGUAUAAACACCGACAACAGGGAAACACUGGCCUGCGAGUGCUCCAGUUGGAGAACAGCCUUUACCAAAGGUGUCAUGGACUUUGAAGACACUCAAACUCAAAUCAGGAUGAAAGGGAGAAACGUGCUAAGAGGAAGGCAUGUUUGGCAAACCCUCAUCCAUGAUCAACUCUCACCCGGAAACCAAUGUACCCACUGUGGAAGGACGUGUGGAUCCAGAAUUGGCCUCCACAGUCACUUACGGACUCACUGCUAAGACCGUGUUCAUGGAAGACAAUUUUACUCGGCUACAAAUGAUCGCCAAAGAAAAAGAAGAAAACUUUCUACACUAGAUAUAUUGGGCACCAUUCUGAAAAGAGUGUGCUGAGAAUUUACAAUUCCUUUCUUUUCCAGCAUGGCAGCAAGGAUGUGCCAGGUGCUUGGCCUUUUAAUAUACAGUACAGUACUUUAUAUAUACUUUUCCUUUUAUCCCUCACAUUUCCACAGAACCAGAAAGCUGCACAAGCAAAUGACAAUUGCUCGACACUGUGCUUUUGCACACUUCUUAAGGGGGAAUUAAAAACAAAACAAAACGUGAGCAGCUAUAUGUGAUCAUGCCCUGUCAGUACUUAACUUGCAUAACAGAAUCACCAAAUUAGAAGGCAGGGACAAACACAAAAGAGAUAACUACUGGUAUAAAUGGGAAAAACCAAAGUUGCUGUUCAUACAUGAAUUUAAAAAUGUGCAGGUGGGAACUAUUCUGGGGAUUGGGUUAACAGCUAAAUAAUGCUCAGGUGGGGACUUCCGGGUUGGCGCCAUCGGUAAUGGCUGAAUUCCUCUGACUAAGAGGAAUUUGCUCCGUGGAAAUUGGGUCUGGCCGCCAUGGCGAAGGCGGAGACCCUUCAGAAAUCACAGGCGGGUGAAGCCUGUGAACGCGGGAUUCGGCGGGCACCCUCAGCGCCUCCCCUACUCGCGUGGAAACCCGUUCGUUGGAUCCGUAGCGAAAUGGGGUGAGCAGCGCGGUGCUGUGAAUCGACUGCUCUUUCCACAGAGUGAAGCCGCAUAGCCGUUGCCGGAGAGCGCUGACUUUUUCCUGUGAACAAUUGGAUUUAAAAAGACACUACCCGUGAGUAGAACAAUUGGUUUUCAAAGAUAUUAUUUAAGAACAAUCAUAUUGGAACUUUUUAAAGGAAGAAAUUUGUAAUUUGGAACUGUAGCGGGGAGGCAUAAACAGGAAGUCUGCCUUCCGCUUUUGUAGACAGAACAAAGCAAAGAGGCUGCAAGCCAGAGUCUUGGAGAGCCGACUGGAAAGGAUUAAAAUCUCAAUUUCUAAAUUAGAAAACUCCCCCCUGGAAGCAGGAGAAGAGGGGGGAGAAGUUUUGGACUUUUCAUACCUGCAAAAGAGAGGUAAGGAAAUUAAAACUCCACUGCUCAGACCCUGGGAACGGGCUGCAAAUAGACAAUAAGGCUGCCGUAUCUGGAAUGCGCUCUGACUGUUAGCUGUCAAAAGAGAGAUACAUUCUGCUUAAUUGUUUCUAACUGCCCUUCUGACUCUUAAGGGGGAGAAAAAGUAACGGAAAAUUGAAACUAAAUUUCUUUUUUGAGCUACGUUUUAAAAGGAGUUAUUUUGGAUAAUUAUAAGCACAGAUUGCAACUGUUUCCCCCUAGAGGUAGUAGUGGAAACUGUUGUAAGAGCCGGACCAGGGGAAUUUUCCAUUAGAAAGAUAAAAUUGUCUGACUGUGGGAUUGACCUUGGACUUUUUGAGUGUUAUGGCAAUUGGGAAAGAGAAAGUAGAUUUAUCAACAACGAGAUCUGGGAAGCCUUGGCAGCGAAGAGCAUCAGCAUCUGGUCCUUCUGUACCAUCUGCAGCUGUGCCAACUCAAUCUAAACAAAGAGGAAUGUCAUCAGAAGAGGCUUUACCGACGUUGCUGGGUAAAAUAAAUGAAUCUUUGGAAAAACUCUGCAGGAAAGUAGAUGAGACAAAUAUAAAAGUUGAUGCAUCUAAUGCGAAGGUGGAUGCCGCAAAUGCCAAAAUUGACAUUAAUACAGAAAGUAUAAAUAGUCUGGGACAAAAGGUGAAUACUAAUAUAGAAGCAAUACAGAAAUUGAUACAGGAGUCUGCCUCGACCCGUCAAAUUGCAGAGGAAGCAAAGGGUAAAGUGGAAGUUGUGGAAGCCAAAGUAACACAACUGGAAACAAAGAAAGUUCCAGAUAUUCAGAGACAGGUUGAGGAUCACAGGCUGAUUCUUUCUAUGAUUGAGCUUAAGGAAAAACAGAUGAACUUGAGGAUUAGAGGGGUACCCAAAUUGGAGAAAAAUACUUUGAUAGAAUUUCUUAUGCAGGAAUUUGCAGAGUUUUGGAAGUUGGACUUGGAACAAAAAGGAGUGAAAAUCGUGAGUGCCUUCAGGCUUGGAAGAGGAGGGAAGAAGAAUAGAGUAAGAGACUGUUUGAUUACCCUCCGAUCCAAAGAGGAGAGAGAUAAAAUUUUGGGCUGGCAUUUUCAGAAGCCUUUGGGAAUAUUGCAGUCAAGAGUGGAAAUAUUUAAAGAUAUCCCGAAAUAUCUUUUGGACCUUAGGGCCAAUUAUGGAGAUUUGGUUGAUCUGCUGAGAAGGAACAGUAUCAUCUUUUGGUGGGAAUUUCCUCAAGGCCUAUCCUUUAGUUUUAAAGGAAGAAAAAUAAAAAUAAGAUCAGUUGAAGAUAAAGACAAAUUUUUGAGCACCCACAAAGAGGAUCUACAGAAGGGACUUGGAAAAGAACCAGGAGUACCGGACAGAAGAUCACCAGACAGAGUACUAGAGCAAGGAGUACUGGACAAAAGAUCACCUAUACUGGACUUAGCAAAGUUAAAUUUUGGAUUGGACUACCCAGUGAAAGGGAUACCAGCACUACCGUCAGAACAAGAAGAAACACUGGGCGCAGUUGGAGGUGACUUAAAAUAAUUACAUUAUGGCACUGCAAAUAUUAAGCUGGAAUAUUAAUGGGAUGAAUUCCCCUGAGAAAAGACGAAGAGUCUUUCAUGUAUUAAAAAAGGAACAAUUGGACUUGAUUUGCUUACAAGAAACACAUGUGAUAAGGCUACAUAGGAAAUUACUGGUAAAUAAAAGAUUGGGACAAGAAUUUAUUUCAUCAGACAAAGUAAAAAAAAGAGGAGUAGUACUUUAUGCAAAGGAGAGCUUAUCACCGAAAUUUCUUUUUAAAGAUGAUCAAGGAAGAUUUGUAGCAAUUGAAAUCCAAUCACAAGGAGAGAAGUUUUUGAUAUUAGGUAUUUAUGCACCAAACGAGGGAAAAUCGGAAUUCUUUAAGAAGCUACAUGAGACUUUGAUGUACUAUAUGGAUUAUAAUAUGAUCUUGAUGGGGGAUAUGAAUAUUGUAGUGUCUACAAAUAUGGAUAAAACACAGAGACAGGUAGUCACUAAGGAUGGCAGAUUGCCAAAGACUUUCUUUGAUAUGACUGACAAUAUGGACUUAGUUGACAUUUGGAGAAUUAAAAACCCUUUGGGAAGAGAGGGAACCUUCUUCUCUGAGGCCAAAAUGACAUGGACAAGAAUUGACCAAAUUUGGGUAACUAGAGGACUGGCUCCAAAAACUAGAAAGGUGGAAAUAUGCCCGAAAAUCUGCUCCGACCAUAAUGCUGUAAAGAUGGAAUUGAAACUAACACCAACUGGUACCUUCAGAUGGAGGAUGAAUGACAUAUUGUUUAGGAAUAAAGAAGUGACUAAGAAGGCCCAAAAAACUCUGAGAGACUAUUUUGAGAUAAAUAUGAACACCACUGUAGAAAAAAGAGUAAUCUGGGACGCAAGCAAAGCGGUUAUGAGAGGGUUUUUGAUACAACAGAAUGCGAUUCAAAAGAGAGUCCAAAAUGAGAAAAAAGAUAAAAUAUUGGAGAAAAUAAAGGAAGGAGAGAAGAAACUGAGAGUGAAACCAAAGUCGCAGGAGAUUUUGAAAGAGAUAAAGUUAUACCAAGUACAAUAUAUGAAAAUGAUGAACCAGGAAAUAGAAUGGAAAAUUAAACAGAUGAGACAAAAGACAUUUGAAUCGGCAAAUAAAUGUGGAAAACUGCUGGCUUGGCAAAUGAAAAAAAGACAAAAACUUAACACUAUCACAAAUUUGGAAGUAGAAGGGAAAAAUAUACAGAAUCCAGUGGAGAUUAGAAAGUGUUUUCAGAGGUAUUUUAAACAACUAUAUACACAGGAAAUUCAGAAACAAAUGGACAUUGAUUCUUUUUUGAAAACAAAUGGAUUACAAAAAAUCUCUCAAGAAAAUAAGCUAAUGUUGAACUACAAAAUAACAGAGCAAGAGAUAGAAGGGGCCAUCCAGAAUAUGCAAUUGGGUAAAUCUCCAGGUCCGGAUGGACUGACUUCAAGAUACUAUAGAUCCCUGAAAGAAUGGAUAAUACAGCCAUUAAAAGAAGUUUGUAAUGGAAUAUUGGAAGGGAAAAGGGCGCCAGAGUCGUGGAAGGAAGCUUACAUUACACUUAUACCGAAAGUAGAGUCUGAGAAGACACAGCUUAAGAAUUACCGCCCCAUAUCUUUGCUUAAUGUGGAUUACAAAAUUUUUGCAGAUAUUUUGGCUAAAAGAUUAAAAAAGGUACUAGUAGAAGAAAUCCAUAAAGACCAAGCCGGUUUUCUCCCGGGUAGACAUUUGUCUGACAACACGAGGAAUAUAAUUAACAUUCUAGAAAAGUUACAAGUAAAUAUUAAUACUAAAGCAGUUUUGAUAUUUGUGGACACGGAGAAAGCCUUUGACAAUAUUUCUUGGAGUUUUAUGAAGAAAAAUCUACAGGGGAUGGGGGUUGGUCAAGGUUUUGAAAAUGGUAUAGGUGCAAUUUAUUCAGAACAAAAGGCUAAAUUAAUUGUGAACAGUGUAGUGACGGAAGUAUUUAAGAUAGAGAAAGGAACACAACAAGGUUGCCCAAUCUCUCCAUUGCUUUUUAUAUCGGUCCUGGAAGUUCUUGUAAACAUGAUUAGGAGGGACCAAACAGUUAAAGGUAUACAAGUUGGAGCUAAACAGUACAAAAUGAAAGCAUUUGCUGAUGAUCUGGUAUUGACAUUACAGGAGCCAGAAUCUAGUACCAAAAGAGUAUUGGAACUGAUCCAAGAAUUUGGACAAGUAGCGGGAUUUAAGUUGAAUAAGAUGAAAACUAAAGUUUUAGAGAAAAAUUUAACAGUGACGGAGAAAGGUUUCAGAAGGAGACAGGAUUAACAUUGGUUAAGAAAGUGAAAUACCUAGGGGUUAACAUGACUGCUAAGAAUGUGAAUCUGUUUAAGGAUAACUAUGACGGAAGUGAAAAAGGAUCUAGAAAUAUGGUCAAAUCUGAAGUUAUCAUUGCUAGACCGAAUUGCUGCGAUAAAGAUGAAUGUAAUGCCAAGGAUGUUGUUUUUGUUUCAAACAUUGCAAAUAUUAGAUAAAAUGGAGUGUUUCAAGAGGUGGGAGAGAGAUAUCUCUCGAUUUGUCUGGCAGGGCAAGAAACCUCGAAUAAAAUUUAAGAUAUUAACUGACGCUAAGGAAAGAGGUGGAUUUGCCCUGCCAGACUUAAAACUUUAUUAUGAAUCAGCCGCUUUUUGCUGGCUGAGAGAAUGGAUGCUUCUUGAGAACACUGAUGUGUUGGACUUAGAAGGCUUUAAUAAUGUUUUUGGGUGGCAUGCAUAUCUGUGGUAUGAUAAGGUCAAAGCACAUAAAGCGUUUAAAAACCAUAUUGUCAGAAAAGCACUGUUUAAUGUUUGGAUAAGAUAUAAGGAUUUGCUUGAGAAUAAAACCCCAAGGUGGCUGUCACCAAUGGAAGCGAAGGCUCAGAAAAAGCUCAAUAUGGAGGCUAAUUGGCCGAAAUAUUGGGAAAUUUUGGAACAAGAGGGAGACAGAUUAAAACUGCAGAGUUUUGAAAAAUUAAAAAAUAAAGUGCGAGAUUGGCUUCAUUAUUAUCAGAUAAUGGAGGCAUAUAAUUUGGAUAAAAAAAAUUGGCUUCCAGGUGGAAAAAUCAAAAUUGGAAACAGAACUGUUAGACUCCAAAACUAAUAAUUUGUCAAGAAUGUAUAAUUUGCUGUUGAAAUGGAAUACUCAGGAUGAAACGGUGAAAUCUGUUAUGAUUAAAUGGGCACAAGAUGUUGGACAUAACAUUAUGAUGGCUGACUGGGAACAGUUAUGGACCACAGGUAUGAAGUUCAUGGCAUGUAAUGCCUUAAGAGAGAAUAUAAUGAAAAUGAUAUACAGGUGGUACAUGACACCAGUCAAGCUUGCGAAAAUUUAUCACUUGCCCGAUAAUAAAUGCUGGAAAUGUAAAGAGACGGAAGGUACAUUCUUUCACCUUUGGUGGACAUGCCCAAGGAUUAAGGCUUUCUGGGAGAUGAUCUAUAACGAAAUGAAAAAGGUAUUUAAAUAUACCUUUUUUAAGAAACCAGAGGCCUUUCUCCUGGGCAUGGUCGGCCAAUUGGUGCCAAAGAAGGACAGAACUUUCUUUAUGUAUGCCACAACAGCAGCAAUAAUACUUAUUGCAAAGUAUUGGAAGACACAAGAUCUACCCACUCUGGAAGAAUGGCAGAUGAAGGUGACAGACUAUAUGGAACUGGCAGAAAUGACUGGCAGAAUCCGAGACCAGGGAGAAGAGUCGGUGGAGGAAGAUUGGAAGAAAUUUAAAGACUAUUUACAGAAACAUUGUAAAAUUAAUGAAUGUUAGAAUGAUGUUGGAAUGAAUCUAUGUGAUUUUAGCAAAAAUGUAUCAAAGAUUUAAGAAAAAUAGACUGUUAAUUGGUGAAAAGAGGGAAAGUAAACUUAUAUUAAGAUCAAGAUAAGUUUUCAGGAUAAAAAUUUUGAAGAGAGGGAAAGGAUUUGCUGAAAUGGAUAAUUGACUUAGAAUACAAAAAAGGGAGGUGUGAGGAGGUCAGGGAAACAAGCAAAUGAAAGAUAAGUUAUGGGAAGGCUCGAUUUGUUUUUUUAUUUGUUUUUAAUUGUUUCUAUUUUUCUGUUUUUUUAUUGUGAUGUGUUGUUUUGCUAUUGUUUAAUUUGGUGUUUUUUCCUUUUGCCUUUUUGUAAACUUAAAACCUUAAUAAAUACUAUUUAAAAAAAAUAUAAUAAUGCUCAGGUGGGACAAGCGCCCUGUCAAAAUCAACAUUAACUAUGUGCAGGACUAACCUAGGUUCUACUUAACACAAGACCUGAAACCAGCUAGCUUCAGAUCCUAGAUUAAUCAGACAACCUCAGUUUCUUCAGUAACUCUAAUUCCCCUUGCUGCCAAUUUAGUUGUUAGUCAUAGUUAAGCCUGGUGGAGGAAUCUCUGCUUCAUAAUAGAGGGGAAGGAGAGUCUGAUCGCAUGGCCUGUUCCUGAUUGGGUAUUUAUUUUAAGCAAUUCUACAUUAUUCAGCCUCAAAUCCCAGAAUGGCUCACAUAUAUAAAAUCAAUAAGCAAAAAAACCCAAGAUGGAUCCUAGCUGCAGGCUUUUCAUCUGAAAGACAACACAAUAGGAAAAAGAUGGGGACAGGAGAUUUUAAAAAACCAAGCACCCAGGCACUGCUAGUUCUUGAAGCUACAAAUUUGUUAUCAUGACCAGAUUGAAAGGGAAUUGCUACUAGCUUGCAAAUGCAACACAGAGCCAAAGACCAAUAUUAUAUAAUUUGGCUACUACCUUCACAUUCUGACCCCUUACAGAGCCACUCCAUGCUAAUCAAGAGCAAUCCGGCUUCACAUCAUUUUACACCCCCCUACUUGAGUGUUGAAAAUGGGUGUAGGGAAGAAGAUAGAAUUUGUCUUCAUAAUGUUAAUAAUGGUCAGAAAUGUUGAUAGUUACCACAUUAACAGUACUGGGCACUGAGAACCAGUGCACAGAUGUGAGUCACACUGCCAAAUUAUUUGAGCUGUGUAAACUGGGGAGCUUAGCUUGAUAGACGAUUUCUGAUGGGUGACUUCAGUGAUUGCCCAGUUGGGGGAAUGGAACAGCCACCAAAGCAAGAAGUGUGACUGAGCUGGGCUGCUGCUUCUCUGUGAAAACAAAACAUGCACACCUUGACUUUGGGGGUGUACGUAUGUGUUCUGUCCUUCAAGAGAUUGGGCGGGAGGGCAGUUAUAGUUGGUGCAUCUUCCAUGGUGCAUAAAAAGCAUAAAAACCAAAGUAGUGCUUGAUCACAUUUCCAUCAGCAUUUGUUACAACAUCAGAAACUGCUCUCAAACUUGUAUCAGGCUUUGUAAAACAGAAGCAAUGCUGGAAGCAGCCCUUGAAAGUCUUGCAUUGUUGCUGUCUAAUGCUGCAAAAUUAAGAACCGGACGCUAGAGGGUGCCAGAGUGUCUUGAUUUUUAGGUUUGCUGAAAUUUUAAAACCUAGGUUUUAUGUACAGGGAGGAAUCUAAAGAAUGCUUAACCACUUCAGCUUGGCUCCAGUGUUAUGAAGUUAUUGGUUUCAGUAGGAAUGGCGAACUCCAGAUGUUGUUGAACUUCAGCUUCCAUCUCCCCUGACUGUUGGCCCUGUUGACUGGCAUUGAUGGCAACUGGAUUCCCGUAAGUGCUGGGGGACCCCAGGUUCGCAGUCCCUGGGCCACAGUCUUUGUACUAUGCAAAACUGAGGAUUUAAAAACAGAAAUUAAAGCAUAACCAUUUUGUGCACAUUUAUAGUUUACUUCUUGUUCUUCACCAAACUAUAGUGAAAUAGAAGCCCUUUUGCCUAUCUGCCAGGCUUACAAAGCUUUUUCCUUAUUGUAUACAGUGGUACCUCAGGUUACAUACGCUUCAGGUUACAUACGCUACAGGUUACAGACUCCACUAAUCCAGAAAUAGUGCUUCAGGUUAAGAACUUUGCUUCAGGAUGAGAACAGAAAUCGUGCUCCAGCGGCGCGGCAGCAACAGGAGGCCCCAUUAGCUAAAGUGGUGCUUCAGGUUAG